rnacentral:lncRNA from 1 species
CCGGUGGAUUCCUGAGAACAAAACUCUUUGUCAGAGUCAGGUGAUCGAAUAGAGGAGAAAUAUAGAAGGAGAGAUGUGCAGAGACAGAGAUACAGAGAGUGGCUAGGCUGACAGCCCCUAUGGCAGAUGGGCAGAGAUUGAUAGAUGUGUUUGAGUCGGUGGGGACAUCAGAGUCACUGUCCGCGUGGUUUUAUAAAGGUGCUUGUCCCUGAUGGUCACGGCCCUGUUAUGUCUUCUUCAGGGUCAGAGACAGAGAGGCUCAGACAAAAACAACUUGAACAAUGAUGCUUGUGAGCGCCCCACACUUUUGACAGCAUGCAUCAAUCAAACAUGUAGCCUAGACUCAAUUCUUUGAUAGGACACCUUGAUGGCUGAGAGAUGCAUGACACCCUGUUUCACCUGGCAGUAAACAAAGUCUACGGAUUAUUCAUGAGAGCCCUCCAGGAAGCUGCGACUCGUGGAUCGAUUCUCAACACCACCUUAAAGCUGCAAAAAAGACAACAAAGAACAAUAACCAUCAUCAUCGCCACCAUUAUAUCUCUGGCCAUCACAAGGAUCGUUAUCUCCCUGAAUGAUACUCCUCUCCUGUGCCGGUUAUAUCAGCAGACUGCAUUUCCAGAUGUUCAUGAAUGAUUUGUCUAUGGGGCUUCUUCUGUGAUGAUUUGAUAAGGUAUUGUUGUUGAUGGUGCUGUCUUACAGCUGACUUACACCUACAAAAACAAUCCACCACAUGUAGCAGCGUGAGGCAUAUGUUUAAUGUGUUGUCACACCUACGGAUUGAAAGGAAUUUGAUUUCAAUGAUGCUCUUGAAAGUCGCGUGUAAACAGACAGUGUAAACGCUUUUGCAGGAAGCCCCCCCUCAGUGAGACUGAACAAGAUCAGAAUGAUUGAGAGAGUGAUAUAUAGUAUGUUUGGAUAUGAGGUAUGGAGUUCUGGGUAGAUUGUAGUCUGUUACUGAUUACAAAUUACAUGAUGGACAUUAUAGUUUGUAAUACUGGAUUACACAUAAGAGGUAAUGUGGUCUGACUACUUUUUGAUUACUUCUGAUCUCCAUUCUUUGUUGUCAACAUCAUGAAGUGUAUGAAACAUUACAAGUAAUCUAAUAAUCAAAUUACAAGUGCUUAUUUUUUUUAAAUCUGAUUACGUAAAUGACAUGUAAUAAAUUACUACCCAGGACUGACUACACUAUACUAUACUAUACUAUAUUAUACUUUACUUUUUGCAGUAUGUGUACUAUAUACUGUUGACUGCAUGAAAUACCCAAAUAAUCAAAUAGAUUUGUUAACAGUGCAUAAUGUGAGAUACUGUAUCACUCAGUGAAUUGCACUCAAGCUAACCUGCCAUUUCCAGCCAUUUCAGUUAGAUUUUUGCAAGUAGGAUGUGUUCCUGCAUCAGUGUAUUUUGUUGGUCCAGAUGCAAUAUUUCCAUCA